UUGGUCGAAUAUUACCCUGAAGACAUGAACAUUAGUGUGUAAAACUAUCAUGUAACACCGAUUUUAAACACAAUAACUUCUUUAUCUGAGGGAAAUUGUUGCUUUUGGUGCCUGUUGGCUUUUUUUUAACUGACUGGGAAAUGACACUGACUUUAACUGGGACAGCUAUGGUGAACAGCUGCAGGAAUCUGAGAUCAGCUUUCAAGCCAGCAAACUGAACCCGUUUUCAGCUUACAAACAUGGACGGUCCAGCUUGGCACAAAAAGAGACAACAGCUUGUGUUGUGUUUGCUCCUGCACAGUCAUCCAGAAUAUCAAUGUCUGGUUGAUUAGAAUGCAGCAUGAAAACACACUACCUGAGGCUGCACUCACAUGCAGCAUACAUAUUUCAUAAAUCCAACCAGGCUGCAAGAAAGCGACGUCCUUGAGGCAGAAAAAUCGACCCCACACACUUGCAGAUUUAUCGUCCUUUACCAAGUAACCUCACGGUGACAUCAAAAUCUACGGUUGUGCUUCAAAAAAGACAUUUCUCCUGUGCAGAAAAUGUCAAGUUUCGAUCAAUGCAAAGGCGAGAAUCAAUUAAUAUGAAGAGCAUAUUUCAAAUGUUAUAGUAGUGACAAAUACAGUCUCAAGAGAAAAUAUCUGUGUCAUUUUGCAUCUUUAAUUGGGGUUUAUUCAUAUAAAGAUCCAAUCAAAAGCCGUCUUUCUUUCAUAUCACCUUAGGCAAGCAAUCAAUCACUCAGCCAUCAAACAAAACUACACCUGAAAACUAAUUAAAGCAUGCAAAUGUGAAGAUGUUUGUAUUCAAAACAGGCACUCAUGCACGAGAACAAGGACUUUAACCUUUAAAUUUCAGGAACCACUCACAAAGGUAGCUGCAGAACUGAAUAAUAGUUCCAUGCCUUAUUUGAUAUUAACUUUGGGGUGAUUUCGUAAUCAGAAAAAAGGUAUAAAAAUGUACAUAUACUACAGACUAGACACACACACUAUGAGACUUGGAUAUGUCAGAGACCUCAUCGUGGGAAAGGUCCACAAAGAAGGAAUGUGUGAGAUUCUACACCUCCACAACUGAGAUGGAUCAUAUUGUACACACACACACACACA